UUAUAACUUGCAACACUUGUCAAUGCUGCUAGCAAAAAUAAAUUUAUAUAAAUCUUGCUAAAUUCAAUUUAAAAAAUCAUAAACCCUAUUCAAAUUUUGCACGUUUGUAUAAAUGCACCCACCCAUCAAAAUCAUGCAAGAACCAGGUAAAAUUAAAAUAAGGUAAAAUUAAAAUAAGAGUAUAGGCUAUACUUAUCACUAUUUUAAAAUUUCUACAGUCAAAGACCAGCCCCAUAAAAACUGAUAUAUACUGAAAUAUAUUCAAAUGCUGAUUAUUCUCCAAGAACCAUGGAAAAAUUAGAUUUACCAUCCUCAUCUCGGUACUUCAGGGAGUAAUCGCUGUCAUGGUCCACAGAGAGAGAGAAUCGUGACCCGUUUCACUGUGGUAUUCCAGAAAUUAAAUAUCAAUGUCAUCCUGGUAUUCUAAAAAUUAAAUAUCAAUGUCUUCCCGGUAGUAUUCCAAAGAUUAAAUAUCUGUCUUCCCGGUAUUCCAAAAAUUAAAUAUCAAUGUCUUCCCGGUAGUAUUCCAAAGACUGAAUACCUGUCUUCCCAGUACUCCAAAAAUUAAAUAUCAAUUCAUAAAGGUAAGUAUUCCAAAAAUUAAAUAUCCAUGCCAUCCCGGUAGUAUUCCAAAAAUUAAAUAUCACUGUCUUCCCGUUAGUAUUCCAGAAAUUAAAUAUCUAUGUCUUCCAGGUAAUAUUCCAAAAAUUAAUUAUCAAUGUCUGUCUUCCAGGUAGUAUUCCAAAAAUGUCAUCCGGGUAUUCCAAAAAUUAAAUAUCAAUGUGUUCCAGGUAGUAUUCCAAAAAUGUCAUCUGGGUAUUCCAGAAAUUAAAUAUCACUGUCUUCCAGGUAGUAUUCCAAAAAUGUCAUCUGGGCAUUCCAAAAAUUAAAUAUCACUGUCUUCCCAUUAGUAUUCCAGAAAUUAAAUAUCUGUCUUCCAGGUAGUAUUCCAAAAAUUAAAUAUUAAUGUCUUCCCGGUAGUAUUCCAAAAAUGUCAUUCGGGUAUUCCAAAAAUUAAAUAUCACUGCCUUCCCAUUAGUAUUCCAGAAAUUAAAUAUCUAUGUCUUCCAGGUAGUAUUCCAAAAAUUAAAUAUUAGUGUCUUCCCGGUAGUAUUCCAAAAAUGUCAUCCGGGUAUUCCAAAAAUUAAAUAUCAAUGUCUUCCAGGUAGUAUUCCAAAAAUUAAAUAUCAAUGUCUUCCAGGUAGUAUUCCAAAAAUUAAAUAUUAGUGUCUUCCCGGUAGUAUUCCAAAAAUGUCAUCCAGGUAUUCCAAAAAUUAAAUAUCAAUGUCUUCCAGGUAGUAUUCCAAAAAUCAAAUAUUAGUGUCUUCCCGGUAGUAUUCCAAAAAUGUCAUCCGGGUAUUCCAAAAAUUAAAUAUCAAUGUCUUCCAGGUAGUAUUCCAAAAAUUAAAUAUCAAUGUCUUCCAGGUAGUAUUCCAAAAAUUAAAUAUCAAUGUCUUCCAGGUAGUAUUCCAAAAAUUAAAUAUCAGUGCCAUCCUGGUAAUAUUC